UUGCGACAAUCAGGGUCCAGUUGCUAAAAACCCCGAUUUUCGGGGUUUUUUGUUAUCUGUAUACGGCGUCUUAGACGAUGUGACUGGGCUUUUAGGCCCUUUUUUU
rnacentral:sRNA from 1 species